GUAUCGGAACGUGCCCAGUCGUGGGGGAUAACGCAGCGAAAGCUGCGCUAAUACCGCAUACGAUCUAUGGAUGAAAGCGGGGGACCGUAAGGCCUCGCGCGAUUGGAGCGGCCGAUAUCAGAUUAGGUAGUUGGUGGGGUAAAGGCUCACCAAGCCAACGAUCUGUAGCUGGUCUGAGAGGACGACCAGCCACACUGGGACUGAGACACGGCCCAGACUCCUACGGGAGGCAGCAGUGGGGAAUUUUGGACAAUGGGCGCAAGCCUGAUCCAGCAAUGCCGCGUGCAGGAAGAAGGCCUUCGGGUUGUAAACUGCUUUUGUACGGAACGAAACGGUCCUGGUUAAUACCUGGGGCUAAUGACGGUACCGUAAGAAUAAGCACCGGCUAACUACGUGCCAGC
rnacentral:rRNA from 1 species